rnacentral:rRNA from 1 species
UGCGCAGGCGGCCAAGUGUGUGAGGCGUGAAAGCCCGAAGCUCAACUUCGGAAUUGCACCUCAAACUACAUGGCUAGAGCAUUGGAGAGGGUAGCAGAAUUCACGGUGUAGCAGUGAAAUGCGUAGAUAUCGUGAGGAAUACCAGAGGCGAAGGCGGCUACCUGGACAAUUGCUGACGCUCAGGCACGAAAGCGUGGGGAGCAAAAGGGAUUAGAUACCCCUGUAGUCCACGCCCUAAACGGUGCACACUAGGUCUUGGAGGAUUCGACCCCUUCAGGGCCCAAGCUAACGCGUUAAGUGUGCCGCCUGAGGACUACGGCCGCAAGGCUAAA